ensembl:lncRNA
UUUUUUUUCCUGACCGCCUACACACAUACAUAAGCACAGCUGGUUAGCGGAGAGGGCAAUAGGAACUUUUCUUUAAGGGAGCGUGCCUUCCCCCUUCUAAAACCUAGAGACGCAAGGAAGUGAAGCGUGGAUUCACUGAAAACGGAGCUCACUGCAAACCACUUAAAACGGAUAGGCCAUAGAAUUUCCUCGGCCAGCGCCCCAUAGAGCCAACCCGCCUGCGACGCACAGGAUCCCCGGCACAGCACAAAAGAAGAAAAAGACACGUAUCCCACUCCCACCUUCGCGACGACGGACCGGGAGCUUCUACAAUUUUUGCAGCUACGCCUGCAACCUCAGUGGUGCGAACAGCCUGUUCGCCCCAAGGCCUAUCCAGGGCGAAAUAAUAUCUUCCAAAUGAGGCAAAACCGUGACGGAUCCGAAGCGUUCUCUGCGGGUGCCUGCGUCUCGGCGGCCGAGGCUUCCGUCUCCGCCUCAGCGCUUUUCUACCCACCACUUGCCUUCAUCUCUGCCUUGGAAUUUCUAGUUCUUUCCUUCGGUCUCCCUGGGUUGCUAGCACUGGCUUCGUGUUCGGCACUCGUAGGGAUCGCUCCCUCUUUCUCCCCUGCAGCUCUCUCCUCCUGCCUCAGAUCUCGUCUCCCCUAAGGCUUAAGUGUCUGUCGCCUUACAAACACCCUCUACAAACUUUCCGAUCCUCCCACGGGGUCCCAGACUGCAGGACCGCAAACGCAGAGGAGGUCCCGGGAGCUGACGGCCCGCGCCCUCCCAUCCCCGCCCGGCCCGGGGGCCCCUCCCGGCUGCACCCCACCAGCCCCGCCCGCUCGCACCUGGUCUCCCUGGCCCGCGCUGCCGCUGCUGCUGCCAUCUACGCGCGUCCCGGCUGGAGCUGGAGUUUUAAACCGCGUUUCCCGGGCGCAAGGCGCGGGGCCGCGCGCUCCCUACUGGCCCCCGUGGCUGCCAAUCACACGCCACUCUCGCCCCGGCCCCGCCCAGCCCCUCUGGAGUCAGCAGCUCAAGGCCUAGGCAGCCUGGGUCAAACCUUUAGAGGAACUAGGGACCCCGCCUGCGUCCAUCAUUUCCCCGAGAACGUCGUUCGGUCGUUGCUGGCUCCGAGUCUCGGGAUCUUGGGCGGUAAAGCCGCAGGUCAAUCCUGGUGGAGUUGACGAGUACUGAGAAACCUUCACCUAGGUCUCCCUGGUCUCCCUUGACCUUGGGGUGUUCUGCGGUCUUUAAGGGGCGCUUUGUCUCCCACCCAAGCUGUCACAACAAGGUUGAGCUGGGCGACUGCGUGCGCAAGCAAGCAAGCACACACACACACACACACAUACACACACACACACACACACACACCUCUGGUAACACAGCACCCACAUGAACACAACUUGCGCUCAGUACCACCCAAGCUCAACCCAUAUAGGGUGGAACCUGUGACAGCAGGAUGCUCUUAGAGAGGGUUAGGAGGCUGAGUAUGUGGAACUCACUUUUUCAUGCACAUACAACAUAUGCACCUUUCUCAGUGUGAAAGGAACACACACACACACACACACACACACACACCAAUGAUUCACGGGGGGGUGGGGACCCCUGGAUAGGGUUUGGAGUUCUUGUCAGCCUCCUUCUCCUUCCAGGUGCCACUGAUUCAUAAGAAGAGGUCUUUAUGCAGCAAGCUAUGGAACCAGACAAGGCCGUGUGUGUCUGAGUUCCCCACCUUGGACAGAAUAGAGGACCACUGGGCAAGCUGAAGGGGAAUGUCCUGUGCCAAAGAGGACAGAGUGGUUGAGGACCCACAGACUCCGUGCUGCAGGCUGCAGAUGAUGAGGAUCAGACCCAACUAGGCACCUGCUGUUGGAAGGAUCUGUUUGCCACCAAGUCCCCUUUCUUCUUAUCUCAGGCUGCAGAGACCCCCAUCAGGACAGUCAUCCGGGUCUGAAGAUGGUGGCUAAGUGGCCAAUAUCAUUCUCAUUAAACAAGUCAAGUCUCAUAUAACUCAAAAUUCCAGACACCUGGAGAAGCCCACAGUGCCAGGCUAGACUUACCUUCAAAGGGCUUUCACCUAAGAGGAUACCAGGGACAGAGGGAGCUGGCUGUCACUCCGCCACAUUCCUACCCUCCACCCUGGUUCCCAUAGACACUGUAGCCCAGGUCCUGGCUCCUGAGUUUACUAUGGAUUGGGGAGAGGAGCCGCAACAUUACAGAUGAGCUCACCUGCUCAGAUAGAAACUCCAGGAAAGAAAGAGGGCUGGGGAAAGGCCUUUGUGGGAGACCUGGAGUAGUGACAAGCUUGGCAAGCCACAAUAUGGGGGGUCCUACCGGUUUAACAAAGGCAUUUCAAAAAUGCCACUGUCUAGACUAAAACCAAGAAAUAAAAAUGGUUCAGGACCUUCCUCCCGGAGACCACUCCUACAGUCUCCUCACCCACCUACCUGCCCCAGGCUAUGGCUGAUAGACCUUCAAAGAGCUUAAGAGAAAGGCAUACCCAGAAAAACUAGGACCCACCCCCAAUAAAUUGACCUACUUCACUUGUA